rnacentral:rRNA from 1 species
ACUGCUCAGUAACACGUGGAGACCUGCCCUUAGGACGGGGAUAAACCCGGAAAACUGGGUAUAAUACCCGAUAGGUCUCGAUUGCUGGAAUGCAUCGAGAUUUAAAGCUCCGGCGCCUAAGGAUGGGUCUGCGGCCUAUCAGGUAGUAGUGGGUGUAGCGUACCUACUAGCCUACGACGGGUACGGGUUGUGAGAGCAAGAGCCCGGAGAUGGAUUCUGAGACACGAAUCCAGGCCCUACGGGGUGCAGCAGGCGCGAAAACUUUACAAUGCUGGCAACAGCGAUAAGGGAACCUCGAGUGCCAGGUUACAAAUCUGGCUGUCGAGAUGCCUAAAAAGCAUUUCAUAGCAAGGGCCGGGCAAGACCGGUGCCAGCCGCCGCGGUAACACCGGCGGCUCGAGUGGUAACCGUUAUUAUUGGGUCUAAAGGGUCUGUAGCCGGCCGGAUAAGUCUCUUGAGAAAUCUGGCAGCUUAACUGUCAGGCUUUCAGGAGAUACUGUCUGGCUCGAGGCCGGGAGAGGUGAGAGGUACUUCAGGGGUAGGGGUGAAAUCUUGUAAUCCUUGAAGGACCACCAGUGGCGAAGGCGUCUCACCAGAACGGACCUGACGGCAAGGGACGAAAGCUAGGGGCACGAACCGGAUUAGAUACCCGGGUAGUCCUAGCCGUAAACGAUACUCGCUAGGUGUCGGCCACGGUGCGACCGUUGUCGGUGCCGUAGGGAAGCCGUGAAGCGAGCCACCUGGGAAGUACGGCCGCAAGGCUGAAACUUAAAGGAAUUGGCGGGGGAGCAC